UUUAGAGGAAGUAAAAGUCGUAACAAGGUUUCCGUAGGUGAACCUGCGGAAGGAUCAUUAAAGAAUACAUUUACACGUGGAUUCGGGCAAGCAAUGCACAACUUAAAUUCAAUUUUAUAAAUCAAAAAAACUCCUAGCAACGGACCUCUUGGCUCUCGCAUCGAUGAAGAACGCAGCGAAUUGCGAUACGUAUUACGACUUGCAGACGUGAAUCAUCAAUCUUUGAACGCACAUUGCGCCCUGGGGUAUUCCCCUGGGCAUGCCUGGGUGAGCGUCAGCAUUCCUCAGACCCCCGGGCCUGGUUUUGUCGCUCAACACCACAGUCAAGAUUUCCUUCUCUUGACCUCAUCCAGGUAGGACUACCCGCUGAACUUAAGCAUAUCAAUAAGCGGAGGAAAAGAAACCAACAGGGAUUGCCUCAGUAACGGCGAGUGAAGCGGCAAAAGCUCAAAUUUGAAAUCCUUCGGGAGUUGUAAUUUGAAGGCGCAACGGAACGCCAAAAGUCUUUCGAAGUCCAUUGGAACAUGGCGCCAAGGAGGGUGAGAGCCCCGUGCGAAAGAACGUUUUGGCCCUAUUCUGCUGCGCCAAAGAGUCGAGUUGUUUGGGAAUGCAGCUCAAAGUGGGUGGUAAACUCCAUCUAAAGCUAAAUACCGGCGAGAGACCGAUAGCGAACAAGUACAGUGAUGGAAAGAUGAAAAGCACUUUGAAAAGAGAGUGAAAAAGUACGUGAAAUUGCUGGGAGGGAAGGGCUUGCAAGCAGACACGGGGAUUUUUUUCCUCGGGCCAGCAUCAGGUGGGAGGGCGCCAACAAGAGCGCGGGAAAGUAGCGUGGCCCUUCGGGGUCCGUGUUAUAGCCCGCGUUUGAUUUGUGCCACCCCCGCCUGAGGCCAGCGCAUUUUUUUUGCAAGGAUGCUGGCGUAAUGGUUGCAAGCCGCCCGUCUUGAA
rnacentral:rRNA from 1 species